AACGAAAUAGUUCAGUUGGUCAGAACAAUAGACUCAUAAUCUAUAAGUCAGAAGUUCAAAUCUUCUUUUCGUUACC
rnacentral:tRNA from 1 species